GACGAACGCUGGCGGCGUGCCUAACACAUGCAAGUCGAGCGGAGACAAUAGUAAUAUUGUUUUAGCGGCGGACGGGUGAGUAACGCGUGGGCAACCUACCUUUCACUGGGGGAUAACACAGGGAAACUUGUGCUAAUACCGCAUAACAUCACGAGAUGACAUCAUCUUGUGAUCAAAGGAGUAAUCCGGGGAAAGAUGGGCCCGCGUCCGAUUAGCUAGUUGGUGAUGUAACGGACCACCAAGGCGACGAUCGGUAGCCGAACUGAGAGGUUGAUCGGCCACAUUGGGACUGAGACACGGCCCAGACUCCUACGGGUGGCUG
rnacentral:rRNA from 1 species